ensembl:lncRNA
AGGCAAUAUACCAAAAGUCCACUCCUCCGUUGACGAAUGGGCGGGGAGGAAAAUGUUGAUAAGAUUAGGGACUGUCUCCAUUUAUACCGACGUUUUUACCGACGUAGCCUGUGCGCUCUUAUAGCCUAUAAAAUGAAGUAAUCGUCUUCAAGUUUCUGUUUUGUCUUUAUCUCAUGAUCAAAAACAGGACAUCUUUUAAAUACUCCGAUGGACCUGUGUAAACACAGUGAAAUAUAAAGAUGAAAUUGUUGGCCACCUAAAAGACUGGAAUUAGGCUACAGCCUAUAUUUUAAAUGUAGGCUAUCUAUUACACCUGUAGUCUUCUUAAUAGACUCUACAGGCUACCUGCGAAGGUUCAUCCACAACCUUGUGAGCCUGUUUUUAUGCUCUUCAAUCCCGUUUUUUCCACUUUGUUAAGCAUACCACGACUCCCUUAGUGAGUAAGCGGGAGCUGGCCAAUCGUUUUAAGGGAAAAUGUGACUGCUAGGAAUUCCCCACACUUUGGCUUUUACUGAAAACAGUGUAACCUUGUCAGGCACGAGAAAGUACUGAAGCCAGCGGCUACAGACAGCUGGCGUGUUCUGUGGAAGAGUCUAUUCUGAAGUCUUGGGAGUAUGAGCAUGAACAUACUGCGUCGGGAGCAAGACCCGUAGGAUACUUCUACAUGAUGAUUACAAAAUGUCCAGGAAUAGCAUCAUAAGGCACCAGUAGUUGCCUUGUACCCAGUUGUGAAUCACAUCAAGAAAUACUGGGUGUUUUAUACCACAUGAAACACUGAAAGGUACAUAAGUGCACAUCAGGGCGAAACUGGUUUGGAUAAUUCCUCCUACCCCCCUGAAGCUUCAGAUGGAGGCUAAACAGGCAAAUGUGUUGAACAUAAAAUCUAGUUAAAAAAGCACGACAGCAAGGCAGUGGGUACUCUGUACACUUACAGUAAAUUCAUUUGGGUUCUUUUUCAUCAUGCUGACAGCCGAGAGAAACACCAUCAGAAGCUCACCAUACAUGAAUAGCACUUGUGUCAUAAUGGCCUGUUCUUCCUUUAGGCCAGUUGUGUGAAUAAUUUAACCAGACUGGACUGUUGGGUAUUCAUGUGGCAUAAUGUCUCCCUCCAGUAGACGGUGUCCUGUGAAAACUCACCCUGAGUUUGGAUCUUUAGGAAGGCUAUUGAAAGUCUUCUUAGGCUGUUUAGGAGGUCUCGGGAAAUGUUUCUAGAAAUGAGUCAGGAUGAUGUCCAUCUUGGUGUCCUGCUUUGCCUGUCAAACCAUCUUCAAAGUGUGAUGGCAGCCGAGGCGUAUGACUGGACCACGGUUGCGUCUUGCUGGGUGGACUACCAGCAUGCAUCAUCAAACCCUCAUAGAUUGUUCAGAAUGGGCUGCACACUUGACCUUUAACUUUAAUCAGUCAGAAAGGAUGCAUGUGGCACCUGACCCUCGACUGACACCAUUAGCCCCUUCAGUCCUUGCCAGCCAAAGCAGCUGCAUCUGCCCGUGUGAACUUCAUCGUCCAGAUAUGUGUUGUCAUCACUGGAUGCUAUGGAAUGUCAGUACCAACUCUCUUUGGCAUGAAUGCUGGAAUGGGUUACUUAAGUUCAUAUUGUAAGAGAAAUCCCUCACCUGAUUUCAAGACACAUCUGAAGACCCGCCACUCUCUUUACCAUCUCCACAUCUGUUCAGCUGUUACUUCAUUUUGUUCCACUGACAUUCAGUGUCACCAGGGUGUCUCUCUGUCAUUUGUGUCACAGGACUUACUCUUUUCAUGGGCUUGCGAAUAGUAGUUCCUAUCUUUCAUGUCCGGAUUAAACGGAAACAGGAGUACACAGCACUCACACCAAAGUUGGAGUGUUGAACUUUGCCUCAGUGGCUCAGGAUAAAAGCUUCUUCUAAACAAAUAAAUGAACAGGUAAAAUCCCGGUUAGUCAGACUGAGGGCAGUCCUAUUACCAUAGACGUGUGAUGUGAACCGUCUGGAAUGUUGGCCUUGCGGUGUGUUUAAUGUUUAAUGGGGAAGGAUGAGAGAAUGUAGGCUCCAUGGACUUAAGCAGGUGGUGAUAUGCCUUUCCAACAGGCCAACCCCCAGCAUAACACUCCCCCAGCUUAUCUGUGUGAGGUGCCGCAUUGGCCCACCGAUGCAGAAGAUUUAUGCUGUCAUGAGUCGCCAUGGUGAACGGAUGACUACAAAACUGAGCCUUAUCAGGUUAACGCCUGUAAUUUGGGUGAUGAAGCAAUACUAAGGAUGUGCGUACUAACCGUUCUUGAUAUUCGAAUAACGAUAGUGUAUACAAGCGUUUUUUUUUAACUAUUUGUGUGGGAGCACCUAAGGCUAGAGUAAAUGGAAAUUAAAAAAAAUGAAAAAGCAGUAAAAACCCUUUCUCCUGAGUGCGCAAAGUGCCAACUCACUCCACAAAUGCACACCAAAACUGUUAUGGGUGUGCCUAAGAUCUCCUCCAAUGAACAAGGUUAUUAUUUGAAAUCAGUAUUUGCUAAAGUAUCCCUUUUUUUUAUAUAAAUUCCCAUAAUUCUGUUCAUGUACAUAAUAACUGAAUAGGGAUAUAAGUACUAAAAUAAUUGUGUUGCCCCAAUAUGCCCAUGUUUUCAGCAGAGCCAAAAUGUCUACUGUUUCUUGGCUCUGAAUCUUCAGGAUCCUUGCGUUGUCCUGUGCCUUGACCGAGAAAGCGAGCACGUGUCAUGUGUCAUCGCUGUCUGGCCCAAGGCACCAUCGCAAUCUGAGCAAAACAAUGUGUUCAUAAUUCAACACGGCCUUAUUCAGUUCCACCCGGUCUUUGGCCCGGUGCAUUGUGUGUAUGCAACAUGAGCCAUGCGGCCAACGCCUUUUGGCCAGAGUUAGCCUCCUGCACACCUUACCUUGUACCUUGAGGACCUCAACCUGGCGAGGACAACACCAUCCUCCAGGUGACUGCAUACGCUGCAUUGCUGUGUGUUCAGUUGAUGUGUAUACAUCUCUCUAACUGUCUACGUGCUGUUGACCUAUUCCCUGAAGGUAUAACGUUAUGGUCAACAUGUCACAUCAUAACAGUGGGCCGCAGACACAGCCAAAGAAUGACUCAGCGUUUGUGCCCUUGAUGGAAUUCCCACUGUUCCCACUCCUACUGUCUGCCGUCCUGCCCUCGUCUUUGUCUCUUGGCUCUGGGUGUAAAAACACUCUUCUGUCCGGCUCCGUGGUCACUCUUAGUCAAGGUUGACGAGCCACAGGCUCGAAGGGGUCACAUUCUUAUUUUUAUAGCCGCUGCUAGGACAGUCCUGAACUUUGUUUUUCUUGCUCCUUAAUGGAAGGCUGUGGACCAUAAAAUGCCUCGGCCUAUGGGCUCUUAGGUUUAAGAAGAGCAUCUUGACUGUGGCCGUGCGGCAGAAAGUAGACAGGAAGAAUAAUCACGGCAGUGAUGACACACCGUAAUGACAUCUGAAAUGCCCGCUGUGAUUGAUACUAAUUCCGCUUCAUUUGCUGUCUCCAAGAGCACAGUCCUUUGAUGUACGGUGUGUUUUCUGUCCAUGCUUGGUCCACCUCUGUGGGUCUAAUGCAAAAUGCCAUUCUGCCCUCUCUCCCUCUGUGAUCCUGGAGAGGCCUACUGUUCCACCACAGGAUAAUGUCCCUUCCUGUGUAUCCCUACGACUCCUACACAAGUCAUAAUCUGCCUGGCGCACUACACAAACAACACCAUCUGCCCACGUGAGCUUUUUUGUCUUUCAAGGUUUCAUUUAAGGGUUUCUUGUCAUCUCUCCUGAGGUCUGUUAUGCUUGUUGGGUCAUUUUAUCUGGUACAGACUCUCUUACCAAGGUUCUCCCUACAUUAUUUCAGAUACUGUAUUUCAACAAAGUCUGACUUUGUAACUGUCAAAUGAAACAAGCUAGUACAUUAUGUGUCCACCCAUAAGAAAUACCAGGUGUUUUCAGGCUGAAUGUUGAAGGUUUGUAUUUUACAUUUGUUUUUAAAGAGAACCGCACAUAGUGUAUAUGAAUGGCUGUUGAAGUAGAAAAAAGCUCCAGUCAACACAGGGCAUGAGUUGCACAAGUGUUUCGGGGGUAAAACGUGGUGUCUGCUUUUUAAAACCGGGCACUUAGCAGGAAAAUCAAGGGGGUUUUGUGGCCUCGUGCUGUUUUGCUUAGACUGCCAUGUGGUAAUGCUGAGUGAAGGGUUAGCUUAGCUCGUCAUUAUUUUUAGGUUGGGAGGCAAAGGUGUGUCACUGCACGUUCCCUCAGCCUGUUCACAUGACUUGACUCUGCCCUCUUCUGUGGGGUUUGGCACAUGCAGUGAGCCAGCUUUCCCUGACGAGAGAUGUGUGAAAACAAAUUCACAGCAAUCGCAGUGUUAUUCUUGGUAAAUCCACGGCUCAUUCAAACUAACACUCGCUUCAUAUGUGCUCAUGUAUUCCAACACAUGAUCUGAAGACCCCACUAUACAUGCACUGUUCUCUGUAGAGGAGGCUGCUCAUCUGCCAACAUUAAACCAUAAAGGAAUACUUCAUGGGCAGGGUCAGGGAGUCCUUGAGUGAAGUCAAAUGAUUACACUUACAGAGAUGUCAGAGCUGCUCAUUAAAACCUUUAAGCACUGUCUCGCUCGCUCGCUUCUCCGACCCCUUUAAACAAAAAUCAUAAGUGGGCAACUUUUUUACUUAGCAAAGCUCCCUAUGUACUUAUUAUAAUAGCAAUAAGCACAUACGUUUAACCUCUAGGCCUAGAUUUCAUUCGCUAAUCGAGGAGUUCUGCGUUCACUGGACUGUUCCGCUGUUCUGUCGUGGCGGUUCCCCUACAGGCGUGCGGAGAGAACCGUGGGUUGAGCCCAGACUCUGGAACAGAAUGUCCUCCAUCCCAUCUGCUAACGAGCCUGCUGGAGAGCAGAUUGCAGGCCGAACGGCGAGAGCCAGAUAUUACCUAAUGUGUCUAUUAAAUUUGCCCUUUCAUUUGUUCGGCCAUUUAUUUGUUUAGAAAAAGAGAGAGAGAAAUACCCGUGCUGGUUGGCCACAAAGCUUCCCUUCAUAACUGGCGCUGCGCGUGCUCUCAUUCUCUCUAUUUAGCAACAUAGUAACGUACCGUAACUGCCUCAACAUCAUGAAAACAAGACUGCAUACGCAUUUUUUCAGUGUUCUCAGCAUAACUUGGCCU